GCCACUGGGGAAGGAUCUCUGGUUGGAGAUCCCUUCCUCGUGGAGUUUCUAUUGUGAGCCUAGAUCUUCAGAGAUGGCCUCACUCCAGAAUCAGGAUGCUAAAAUCAGCCCUGUGUUACAAGAUGAUGUGCUUCUCCUGCUGCACCACUGAUGACUUCAAACAGCCAUCUGAAAACCUACCUCAGAACACCAUUCUAAAUAGCAACUGGUUUUUAAUUAAUGUCUGCCAAAAGAAGAGGAGCUUAAUGCACAGCCUCCAGCCAUGGGACUUGGGCCGGAAAGCACUACAACGUGGAGAAGCACCCUGAGGCAAUGACUGUGCACCCUCCGCCCGGGACGCGCCUCCCGGCUCCCGCAGCCCGCGCGCUCACAGCGCUCCAGGGCUCGGCCACGCACGCCCCACGUGCUGCCGCCCGCCUGUGACCCGAGUGGGGAGGGGAGGAAAAGGGAGGCGCUUC